GAAAUCGCUGCACGUCAGCAGCAGAUGGUCUACAACAGCAGAAGACUACAUCAGGUCCCACUCCUGUCAACUAAGACAGCACAGGCUCACCAAAAUUGGAAAUUAGAAGACUGGAAAAACAAUAUGAGCAACAUUCAGAAGGGAAGCACGUUUUCUUUCUGGCUGCUUCUCUGUGGUCUGACCAGAAACUAACUCAUCCUUAUUCUAGAAAGUGA